rnacentral:rRNA from 1 species
AUACGUAGGGGGCAAGCGUUGUCCGGAUUUACUGGGUGUAAAGGGUGCUCAGGCGGGUUUGUAAGUCAGAUGUGAAAUCCCCGGGCUCAACCUGGGAACUGCAUUUGAGACUGCACGGCUAGAGUGUGACAGAGGGGGGUAGAAUUCCACGUGUAGCAGUGAAAUGCGUAGAGAUGUGGAGGAAUACCGAUGGCGAAGGCAGCCCCCUGGGUUACUACUGACGCUCAUGCACGAAAGCGUGGGGAGC